AUGAGUUAUGGGAAGAAUUGCCUUUCCGGGGGAGUUUGAGGCUCAGGUUAGCUCGGGUGCUUUUCAACUGUCAUGGUGAAAUGGACUCAGUGUUCCCUAGUAGGCUGCUUUUUCUUCAUGUUUUCUACCAUCUCUGUGCAAUAGUUUUAGAGACUCUAUGAGCUAGUUACAUUGGUGGUGCCUUCUCAGUACAGUAAAACCCUGGUGGUACUAUUUCACUGGGAAGUAGUUUGGCAGUGACUUAAGUUCAGAAGCUGGCAGUGAGUUCUGGCAGCUUUGCAAAGCUUUGACUGUUCUUGGGAUGAUCUGACUAGAUGUUCUUCUCAUUAUGCCUCUAGAAUGCAUGUUGGAAAGAAUUUCCAUCUGCUGAGGAACAGUAAUGUAAAAUUGAAUUCUUAGAAUAUUUCUUCUAUUUUUUGCAGAGGAUAGACUAAAUGAGCUACCAAAACAGAAGAGUUCUUGUGAUUUUGGUAUCGGAUCUGAAAGGAAACAUUGCCUUCAGGAAACUGUUUCUGGCAGCUAGCCGAACAGGCAGUACGUGUGGAGAGCACACAGCUGAAGUCUGACACCGUAUUGCUUACAGACACAAAAUUGUUACUGAAUAUGCUGGAAUUCUGGAGACAGUCUUAUCUUCCUGGAGUAACAGUACUGGAUUUUUAUGAAUAUGGAAAUGAUUUCAGAAAAAUAUUACUGUUUAGAAUUCUUUUGUUUGAGACCUAUGUAAAAACAGUUAGAAGGCAAUGUCUAUUUUUGCAUAUGUCAAAUUAAUCAUUGACUAAAGGAAUGAGCAGUUCUGGCAAUGGAGAGUGAUAUAUUAGGUUGCCUAAGUGGUACUCUGGUAUUUUGUAAAGAAAAUAUAUUUUUAAUGGCUGAUAACUUAAGAGCAUAGUACUUGAAUAUAUGUAAAAAUAUCCUCCUGAUCCUUGUCUGAAAUACUAGAUUGUUACUAUAAUAAGAAAAUGUUUUCAAAUGUACUAUAUAAUAAGGUGAAUGUUUCAGCAGACAGAAAACUAUUUAACUAUUUCUUCAUUUUUCCCUUUAUGCUGUACAGAGACAGGGUUUUAUAUACCUGCACGGUCUCUUUUGUGAAACUGUCCAUGAAGUUUAUAGAAUAGUUUAAUUCUUCUGUGUAAAUAUUUUUGAAACAACUUGGAGUAAGUGUUGUACCUGAUAUUUAGUGUAUUGUUUUUACUAUGGGGAUGCAAAGGCAAGUUUAAACAGCCUCUGAACUGUAUUAUACCUGUCCACACCCAGGGGAGGCUUAGUGCUCUGGAUCCUGAAUGGAUGAAGAUGACACAAGUGCCAGUGCAAUUCAGUAAGUGAUCUGCAAUUUUAUUUUUCAUAAUUCUUAUUUAACGUUUGUUACUUGCUGACUAUGGAUAAUGUUUCAAAUGGGAACACAAUCAUCAUUUUAGUUUUGGGGAUUAAAAUGGUUGGUAUGUGGUUUAUUUUGCUAAAACACCAAUUCUCACGGACAUACUUCAAAGUCUUAGGUGGUUUUGAAUAUCCCAUAUGUUAUGAACUAUAUUCAAAUAGCUAGAUCUUCUGUUCUGGUAAAUUCCUGCACAGUGUAAAAACUGAAUAUAAAGCAGCUGACUGGUAUCUCCUUAGCCAUGUACCUUGAAGCAUCAACAUGUUUUUUUUCUAAUAUAUUAGAUUAAAGGUAAAUCUGCUACUUUCAGGAGAAAAAAUCAGGAGGUAACAGAGCAUAGACUUGCAUACUAACCUGGAAUCCAACUGGAAAGGUCUGUGUUUUUAUACUUUGCCAUUUUGAAAUUAAGAAUUGCUGUAGAUGGUUUGUUUUCCAGUCUUCCAAUAAUAUCCAAUCAGUUACCACCCUUAGGCUUUCUGAUACACCUAUUGCAUCAGCAUUCUUAUUUAAGAAAGCAGAAAUGCUUAGACUAUUACUGCUUUUGUAGAACAGAUAUAUUUGAUCUGUUUUACUGUUUUUCUGUGCCUUUUUAUUUUUAUGGGGCUCUGAAGUAGGCUUUGAUCUUGAUUCCAUACUCUUCCACAAGUGUAUUACUGAUUAUUCUUAGAGCCUGUGCUUUGGUUAGGAAAUAUUUUUAGAGUAAAAUAUUUGACACUUUAGAUAUGCAUUUAUUUUUCACCUGUCUUCAUCCUGUACUAACAAAAACUAAAUAUGAUGAGAAUAAAGAAAUAUUUUGUUCA